ACAGAUUCCCGUAAGAACACCGAAGUUAAGCAACAUCGAGCCUGGUUGGUAUCUAGAUGAGUGGCCGCUUGGGAAAACCGGGUGU